UUUUACAAAUACUCUCUCAAGGUUUUUCUAUCUCUUUUUCUGCAAACUCUUUUGAUUAACCUUUCCAUAUAGAACAUUUGUAUGAUUUAAUAUCUAGGUUGAUAGCUAGGGUGUUGUAGGAUACUGUAGGUACUAUUCACCUUCAAAGGUAAAGCAAAACUAGAUACUUUUCUUUCAUUGAAGAUCCAAGGAGCUCAUGAUUGCUUGAGAUUCGAAGGCUUUGGAAGAUCCAGUUUUAAGGAGAUUUGAACAUUGGAGAUUUUAGAGUGGUUACUUAGCUAGAAGAUUUACGAUCGGUUGAAUUCGUAAAUCGAAUGAAUCUUUGUAGUUGACUAUGUAAUUUCAACACAAUAAUAAUGAAAGAUCGUAGAAAUUUUUCUAUGAAGAGUGAAUGUACCCCAUAAUAAGGACGAUUGGGGAAACCACUAUAAAUUCUGGUGUUUUAUUCUCUUUUAUCUUUAUUUCUUUCAGUUUAUAAUUGGAUAUAUGAUAUUUAUUAACUAGGUUAAUAAAUACAUUUGUAAGUGAUUGAAUAAUUUAGAACUUAAUUCUAAGAAUCUUUUGUA
rnacentral:lncRNA from 1 species